rnacentral:rRNA from 1 species
AGAGUUUGAUCCUGGCUCAGGAUGAACGCUAGCUACAGGCUUAACACAUGCAAGUCGAGGGGCAGCAUUGGAGUAGCAAUACUCAGGUGGCGACCGGCGCACGGGUGAGUAACACGUAUCCAACCUGCCGCUUACUCGGGGAUAGCCUUUCGAAAGAAAGAUUAAUACCCGAUGGUAUAAAGAGUUCGCAUGUUCUCUUUAUUAAAGAAUUUCGGUAAGCGAUGGGGAUGCGUUCCAUUAGAUAGUUGGCGGGUAACGGCCCACCAAGUCUACGAUGGAUAGGGGAACUGAGAGGUUGGUCCCCCACACUGGUACUGAGACACGGACCAGACUCCUACGGGAGGCAGCAGUGAGGAAUAUUGGUCAAUGGGCGGGAGCCUGAACCAGCCAAGUCGCGUGAAAAGGAAGAAGGAUCUAUGGUUCGUAAACUUCUUUUGCAGGGGAAUAAAGUGCAGGACGUGUCCUGUUUUGUAUGUACCCUGAGAAUAAGGAUCGGCUAACUCCGUGCCAGCCGCAGC